ACUUGAAGUGUUACCGUCCCCGGCUCAUGGUUAUGGCCCUCUGGCUCGUUUUUUCAAGUGCCAAAGCUUGGUUUUUGA
rnacentral:rRNA from 1 species